rnacentral:rRNA from 1 species
ACUCAAAUGAAUUGACGGGGGCCCGCACAAGCAGUGGAGCAUGUGGUUUAAUUCGAUGCAACGCGAAGAACCUUACCUGGGCUCGAAAUGCAGGAGACGACAUCAGAAAUGAUGUUUUCCGAAAGGACUGCUGUAUAGGUGCUGCAUGGCUGUCGUCAGCUCGUGCCGUGAGGUGUUGGGUUAAGUCCCGCAACGAGCGCAACCCUUAUCACUAGUUGCCAUCACGAAAGGUGGGGACUCUAGUGAGACUGCCUAGGUUAACUAGGAGGAAGGUGAGGAUGACGUCAAGUCCGCAUGGCCUUUAUGUCCAGGGCAACACACGUGCUACAAUGGUCGGUACAGAGGGCAGCCAAACCGUAAGGUGGAGCAAAUCCCAGAAAGCCGAUCUCAGUUCAGAUUGUGGUCUGCAACUCGACCACAUGAAGUUGGAAUUGCUAGUAAUGGCGAGUCAGCUACAUCGCCGUGAAUACGUUCCCGGGCCUUGUACACACCGCCCGU